rnacentral:rRNA from 1 species
UAGUUGCCAGCAUUCAGUUGGGCACUCUAAGGUGACUGCCGGUGACAAACCGGAGGAAGGUGGGGAUGACGUCAAAUCAUCAUGCCCCUUAUGACCUGGGCUACACACGUGCUACAAUGGACAGAACAAAGGGCAGCGAAACCGCGAGGUUAAGCCAAUCCCACAAAUCUGUUCUCAGUUCGGAUCGCAGUCUGCAACUCGACUGCGUGAAGCUGGAAUCGCUAGUAAUCGCGGAUCAGCAUGCCGCGGUGAAUACGUUCCCGGGCCUUGUACACACCGCCCGUCACACCACGAGAGUUUGUAACACCCGAAGUCGGUGAGGUAACCUUUUAGGAGCCAGCCG